UCUCGUCACGUUUUUUUCUUUUUUUUUUCUAAUCUUUUCCGCUGCAUCUCCGUUGCUUUCCAGAGCAUAACCAGUUUCUGUCCCAGUGCGGUUUAUAUGGAGCAACGCGUGUCGCGCUUUGAGGACUUCGUACUUCGUCGCGUUUUACAUCGUGAAAUCGUUUCGCGGUUGUGUGAAAAAAAUAACAAUUGAAUUUGUUGAUCUAACGUUUCGGCGACACCCGUUAGCGAAUGCAAUAGAAACCGGUGUCAGGUAUUAUUCGAUACGUACGGGAGGUUCGAUCUCUGCCGUAUGUACGUCAUUCGUAUGUACCACGUACGGCACAUACUCCAUAGAAAAGGUGUAUCCACAAUAUCAAUGGGUUGUACAAACCAGUUAUGCGUUACGUGGAGAAUUGAAAAAUGUUGUCGUUGGAUUUUUAAGCCUCGUGGCAGCGCGCGACCAGCGGCGGAUAGUGUUGCAAGAUCCAUGUGUCGAGGUGCGAACCUGCUUCGUAGGUUUCAUCCACAAGGCAUGCGAUAUAUUUCUGCGAGAAAUUUCAUUCCUUUCGUCACCGGCGAACUGGUCCGAUUUGUUUUUUUUUUUUUUUCUUCUCUUCCAUUCAUUAUCCUCGAUUCAAAUCAUUCGAAUAUCCCGCGUUCGAUCCACGGAUCGGCUAAUUUCCUAUUUCGCCGGUCGAAUAAUCGGUAAUUAUUCUAUCGAUUUAUUUUUAUUAACAUCGUUACGUAACACUGAAAAUUUCUCUGACCGAAAACGAUGACGAGAGAAUUUUUUUCAAAAAUAUGAAUAAAAAUCAUGUACGAAUAAUAAAACAAAGUAAAAUAAACGAAGAAAAGUGCACAGUGUGCGGUGAACUUUGAAAGUCGGAGGUGAAAGGUCGCGGUAAUACAUGGUCAUGCUGCACGAGCCCCAGUUAGCGUAUUUUUUUUCUCUUCUUUCUCGCUUGUUUUUUUUUCUUCUUCUCUUCAAUUCUUAGCGAGUCUAAUUGCAGAUAAUCCCACACGCUUACGAACGUACGAUACACACGUACGUGUGUGAAUGUGCGAAUUAUUCCGCAAGAAUUUUUCUACCGCGGCAGCGGCAGCUAGCUAGCAAAGCGAGAGAGAUUCGAGUGUUCUUUUUCCCCGUGCGCUCUUUUCUUUCACUCCGUGUUUUGUAAUUUUAUUUUAAUUUUAUUUCAUUUGAUUUUAUUCUUCGCGUUCUCGCGAUGACAGAUAAAAACGGAACGAAGACUGUCGCAGGAAGUUGUCAAGGACGGGUGUUACAAUAUUGCGCGUUAGUUACGAAAUUGAUUACGAAGCGGUCGUAAUUACGCUACGUUCGACGUUAAUUUUACCGAUCCUCGAACCGUGAAUAGAAAAAUUGAUCGACGGAAUAUUUUUACGGACGUGCGAAAAAGAAGAGAAA